AUGGCGCUGCGGGCAGGCGGGCGAGAGAGAGCAGAAGACAGCGUCUCAGCCAGUGCCGGAAAGCUCGCCGGCCUUUCCUUAUUGACCCCACGCACAGGUCCGGGGCAGCCGCCCCAGCCUCCCGCAGCCAGGGAGCAGCGGUGACAUGGUCCCGCGCGCCCGCCGGGGAUGUUCCUGCCUCCUCGCUGCUCGCAGCUCGCGUCUCCUAGUGGAGGGCAGGUGGCGCGCCGUGACCAGCCUGAGGGCCCCUAGGCUUCCCGCAGCGUUCCCCGCUAAGUUUGAAAAGAAAGUCGAUGAUGCUCCCUCCUCCCCGCCCCUCGGAGUUUGUGCCCAGCGGUCACAGCGGGACACGACCCUUCCCUGGAGGGGCCAGCCUGCCCCCCUGCCCUCCAACCUCUCCAACCGCCCCUCGGAUCACUCGCUCAAGAUCCAGGAGCCCAGGCAGCCCUAGUGCCCAUCCCGGGUUCCAAGCUUGGCUAGGCGGAAAGUUGUCACCCAUGACAGGAGACCUCUUGGCACAGGGGUGGGUGCCCGGUGAGGCUUCCCUGGACGUCCCGGGGACCCAGAACCCCCGGGGUCCUUGCCUUCGCCUGGCGGAGUUGGAACAACAGACUCACCAUCAGGGGCUUCAUUUUGGGCUCCUCUUUUGUGCAGAAUUCUCAGGCAAGCGCGUCCGGAGCCACUUUUUCUUGGAGGUUGUCCAUGGUGGGUGACGGGGUUGAGGCGGCUCAGAUGCUCGCCCGGCAGUGGCAGCGGCUGAGCGGGAGCUGGAGCCGCGGACCUGGGAAGCGCGGCUGUUGCACAGAUUAGAGCAGAAUUAAAACUGAGCCGGACCCUCCGAGUCUCCCUGCAAUCCACACACUGCCGCCUGCCGCCGCCUGCUGGGUCCUAGCGUCCUCUGCAAUCGCCCUUCCAGCACCCAAGGCAUCUUUUUGGUGAAGUGGAAUUUCUAGGGCGAGCUAACGUUACCAUAAGUGUGCACCCGUUUCUUGGUUUGAAGAUUUAUUAUCCUUUUAUGGGGUCAUCAAGCUAAAAGGGCGCAGAACCCAAUUUGGUCCUGAACACAGUGGCCAUUUGAAAAUGUACUAACCAAAAUUUCAGUUUUGCGAUUUUAAUAAAAACAAGUUAACCUCCCAACUGUCAAUAAAUCUAUUUCUAUUUGCAUUAGUGUUUACAGCUUGGCAAA